UACGUAGGUUGCAAGCGUUAUCCGGAAUUACUGGGCGUAAAGCGCAUGCAGGCGGUCUUGUAAGUUUGGCGUGAAAGCUCUCGGCUUAACUGGGAGAGGUCGCUGAAGACUGCAAGACUUGAGGCAAUGAGAGGGGUGUAGAAUUCCUGGUGUAGUGGUGGAAUGCGUAGAUAUCAGGAGGAAUACCAGUGGCGAAGGCAGCUCGCUGGGACGUUACUGACACUGAGGCGCGAAAGCGUGGGGAGCGAACAGG
rnacentral:rRNA from 1 species